UUUAACUGAGCGUUCAGUUACUUGACGUAGACCCGAAACCGGGCGACCUACCCAUGAGCAGGAUGAAGCGAAAGUAAAAUUUCGUGGAGGUCCGAACCCACGAGCGUUGAAAAGCUCGGGGAUGACUUGUGGGUAGCGGUGAAAUUCCAAUCGAGCCCGGAGAUAGCUGGUUCUCCCCGAAAUAGCUUUAGGGCUAGCCUCAAGGUGAGAGAUACGGAGGUAGAGCACUGAAUGUCCUAGGGGGUAUUGCACCUACCGAAGACUAUCAAACUCCGAAUGCCGUCAUCUUAUACUUGGGAGUCAGACUGUGGGUGAUAAGAUUCAUAGUCGAAAGGGCAACAGCCCAGAUCGUCAGCUAAGGUCCCUAAAUGUAAGUUAAGUGGUAAAGGAUGUGGGAUUGCACAGACAACCAGGAUGUUGGCUUAGAAGCAGCCACUCAUUCAAAGAGUGCGUAAUAGCUCACUGGUCGAGUGAUCCUGCGCCGAAGAUUUCCGGGGCUAAAACUUACUACCGAAGCUACGGCAUCAGUAAUGAUGGGUAGGGGAGCUUCCCAUACGGGUUGAAGCAUGACCGUAAGGACAUGUGGACAGUAGGGGAGUGAGAAUGUUGGCAUGAGUAGCGAGAUGUGGGUGAGAAUCCCACAGGCCGUAAACCCAAGGUUUCCAGGGGAAGGUUCGUCCGCCCUGGGUUAGUCGGGACCUAAGCUGAGGCCGAAAGGCGUAGGUGAUGGACAACAGGUUGAUAUUCCUGUACUACCGAU
rnacentral:rRNA from 1 species